AUGAGGAGAAGUUUGGUCUAUGCUGCUGCAUUUUUUCUUCUUUUACUUUACGUUCCAAUCAUUACCUCUUCAAGGCACAUAAGCCACUCAAAUUCACGACAUGGACAUUCAAAACAUGAAGUGGCAAAUAUGCGGGGGCCGAUGGAAGUAGCCGGAUCACGGUUGCCGGAUUGUUCGCAUGCAUGCGGGUCGUGUUCGCCAUGCAAAUUGGUGAUGGUGAGCUUAGUUUGUGCAUCACUAGCAGAGGCUGAAUCAUGUCCAAUGGCUUACAAAUGCAUGUGCCAUAACAAGUCCUAUCCUGUUCCAUAG